rfam:Eubacteriaceae bacterium CHKCI005 isolate CHKC5 genome assembly, contig: {contig12}
CGUCAUAAGGACUAGUAUUACCCUUAUGACGUCAUGUAGCAAGUAGCA